UACGAAGGGGGCUAGCGUUGUUCGGAAUUACUGGGCGUAAAGCGCACGUAGGCGGACAUUUAAGUCCGGGGUGAAAUCCCGGGGCUCAACCCCGGAACUGCCUUUGAUACUGGGUGUCUAGAGUCCGGAAGAGGUGAGUGGAAUUCCGAGUGUAGAGGUGAAAUUCGUAGAUAUUCGCAAGAACACCAGUGGCGAAGGCGGCUCACUGGCCCGAUACUGACGCUGAGGCACGAAAGCGUGGGGAGCAAACAGG
rnacentral:rRNA from 1 species